rnacentral:rRNA from 1 species
UACGGAAGGCAGCAGUGGGGAAUAUUGCACAAUGGGCGCAAGCCUGAUGCAGCCAUGCCGCGUGUAUGAAGAAGGCCUUCGGGUUGUAAAGUACUUUCAGUCGUGAGGAAGGUGUUAAGGUUAAUAACCUUAGCAAUUGACGUUAGCGACAGAAGAAGCACCGGCUAACUCCGUGCCAGCAGCCGCGGUAAUACGGAGGGUGCGAGCGUUAAUCGGAAUUACUGGGCGUAAAGGGCACGCAGGCGGUUAAUUAAGUUGGAUGUGAAUCCCCGGGCUUAACCUGGGAAUGGCAUUCAAGACUGGUUAGCUAGAGUCUUGUAGAGGGGGUAGAAUUCCAUGUGUAGCGGUGAAAUGCGUAGAGAUGUGGAGGAAUACCGGUGGCGAAGGCGGCCCCUGGGACAAAGACUGACGCUCAUGUGCGAAAGCGUGGGGAGCGAAACAGGAUUAGAUA